UAUACAGCGUUCUGCUGAAGCUGGGCGGCCGGUACUGUAGAGCAUCGAAAAAAAGAAAAAAACUCUUUAACAUGGACCGGGCGUUCGGGAUUGCUCCCGGUAUUCCCGAUUGCCAGUCCGCCUCCACCUAAACUCUCCAGGACACCUGCCCUCCAGGACCGAAGUUGCCCAUCCCUGAUUUAGGGGGACAUAUAGCAAAUAUUACAGCAAACGCUGAACCGUGUUUUUGGAUGAUGCAGUUCAAGCAGAAGAUCAUCUCUUUCACUGUAAAUGAAAAGUUCAAUAUCCAGUCUGAGGUCCGACUGAGGAUCAUAUCACCUCCUUACAGCUGGCUCAUCAUAUUCUGCUGUUAUUAUCUGAAAACCACCACGGCUUUUUGUCAAACUUGUUUGUAGGAACUAAAGCAUCCCAAAACUGUGUUUAUAAAUAUCUGUACUUUUGUUAUACAUUGGUAAUGUGCUUUUUAGUUGUCUCGGAUGUUAAUAUAUGUCAAUUUAAUUAACACUUAAAUGCAUGAUACAUUGAGGACAAUUUUUCUGUCAUAAAUGUUGAUCAGAUGACAUUUAAAAAAAUCCUUGACAGUUUUAUAAUGAGAAUGAUAGAUGAUACUGCUGUAUUGUUACAUUUUAAAAAACAGUUUAUAAAUAAAGUUUUUUUC